AACGAACGCUGGCGGCAGGCCUAACACAUGCAAGUCGAACGCCGUAGCAAUACGGAGUGGCAGACGGGUGAGUAACACGUGGGAACGUACCCUUCGGUUCGGGAUAACUCAGGGAAACUUGAGCUAAUACCGGAUACGUCCGAGAGGAGAAAGAUUUAUCGCCGAGGGAUCGGCCCGCGUCUGAUUAGCUUGUUGGUGAGGUAACGGCUCACCAAGGCGACGAUCAGUAGCUGGCUGAGAGGAUGAUCAGCCACAUUGGGACUGAGACACGGCCCAAACUCCUACGGGAGGCAGCAGUGGGGAAUAUUGGACAAUGGGCGCAAGCCUGAUCCAGCCAUGCCGCGUGAGUGAUGAAGGCCCUAGGGUUGUAAAGCUCUUUUACCCGGGAAGAUAAUGACUGUACCGGGAGAA
rnacentral:rRNA from 1 species